GGCCUAAAACAUGCAAGUCGAACGCCGUAGCAAUACGGAGUGGCAGACGGGUGAGUAACACGUGGGAACGUACCUUUUGGUUCGGAACAACACAGGGAAACUUGUGCUAAUACCGAAUAAGCCCUUACGGGGAAAGAUUUAUCGCCAAAAGAUCGGCCCGCGUCUGAUUAGCUAGUUGGUGGGGUAACGGCCCACCAAGGCUACGAUCAGUAGCUGGUCUGAGAGGAUGAUCAGCCACACUGGGACUGAGACACGGCCCAGACUCCUACGGGAGGCAGCAGUUAGGAAUCUUGGACAAUGGGCGCAAGCCUGAUCCAGCCAUGCCGCGUGAGUGAUGAAGGCCUUAGGGUUGUAAAGCUCUUUCAGCGGGGAAGAUAAUGACGGUACCGGCAGAAGAAGCC
rnacentral:rRNA from 1 species